rnacentral:rRNA from 1 species
AAAUUGAAGAGUUUGAUCAUGGCUCAGAUUGAACGCUGGCGGCAGGCCUAACACAUGCAAGUCGAACGGUAACAGGAAGCAGCUUGCUGCUUUGCUGACGAGUGGCGGACGGGUGAGUAAUGUCUGGGAAACUGCCUGAUGGAGGGGGAUAGCUACUGGAAACGGUGGCUAAUACC